rnacentral:rRNA from 1 species
GACGAACGCUGGCGGCGUGCCUAAUACAUGCAAGUAGAACGCUGAAGGAGGAGCUUACUUCUCUGGAUGAGUUGCGAACGGGUGAGUAACGCGUAGGUAACCUGCCUGGUAGCGGGGGAUAACUAUUGGAAACGAUAGCUAAUACCGCAUAAGAGUAGAUGUUGCAUGACAUUUACUUAAAAGGUGCAAUUGCACCACUACCAGAUGGACCUGCGUUGUAUUAGCUAGUUGGUGGGGUAACGGCUUACCAAGGCGACGAUACAUAGCCGACCUGAGAGGGGGAUCGGCCACACUGGGACUGAGCCACGGCCCAGACUCCUACGGGAGGCAGCAGUAGGGAAUCUUCGGCAAUGGACGGAAGUCUGACCGAGCAACGCCGCGUGAGUGAAGAAGGUUUUCGGAUCGUAAAGCUCUGUUGUAAGAGAAGAACGAGUGUGAGAGUGGAAAGUUCACACUGUGACGGUAUCUUACCAGAAAGGGACGGCUAACUACGUGCCAGCCGCCGCGGUAA